CAGAGGUGGCAAGCGUUGUUCGGAAUUACUGGGCGUAAAGGGCGCGUAGGCGGCCAUCUAAGUCAGACGUGAAAUCCCCCGGCUUAACCUGGGAACUGCGUCUGAUACUGGACGGCUCGAGUUUGGGAGAGGGAUGUGGAAUUCCAGGUGUAGCGGUGAAAUGCGUAGGUAUCUGGAGGAACACCGGUGGCGAAGGCGGCAUCCUGGACCAACACUGACGCUGAGGCGCGAAAGCUAGGGGAGCAAACGGGAUUAGAUACCCCGGUAGUCCUAGCCCUAAACGAUGAAUGCCUGGUGUGGCGGGUAUCGAUCCCUGCCGUGCCGAAGCUAACGCAUUAAGCAUUCCGCCUGGGGAGUACGGUCGCAAGGCUG
rnacentral:rRNA from 1 species